CUGAGUCAAGGAGAGGAGAAAUGGUAGAGGGAGGAUUUGAACCUACAGUCUGGCCCCAUCGAUGCUACUGAAAAGAAAGUUUGCUUCUAGAAGCCGUAUUAUAUGCAAAUAUAAAGGAUAAACUUCAUACUGCUUAUGGAAUUUAGAUGGAAAGCACCUAGCCAGCAAGGUGCUUAUGGUGGCUGCUCUACUGGACUGCAGUGAAUGACGACCAUAAGGAAUGCCAUACCUGCCUACCAUCCCUUACUGGACCUGAGCAUGAGUGGGAAAUAAAGUCACUGAAAUCUAGGGGUUGUUUGUUUCUGCAGUAUAAUCUAGACUACUCUGAUUAAAAGUAGGGAGGAAAAAAGAUAUAAAUAAUUGCAAGGCACAUCGAAGCA